rnacentral:rRNA from 1 species
UGGGGAAUAUUGGACAAUGGGCGAAAGCCUGAUCCAGCCAUGCCGCGUGUGUGGAGAAGGUCUUCGGAUUGUAAAGCACUUUAAGUUGGGAGGAAGGGCAGUUACCUAAUACGUAUCUGUUUUGACGUUACCGACAGAAUAAGCACCGGCUAACUCUGUGCCAGCAGCCGCGGUAAUACAGAGGGUGCAAGCGUUAAUCGGAAUUACUGGGCGUAAAGCGCGCGUAGGUGGUUUGUUAAGUUGGAUGUGAAAUCCCCGGGCUCAACCUGGGAACUGCAUUCAAAACUGACUGACUAGAGUAUGGUAGAGGGUGGUGGAAUUUCCUGUGUAGCGGUGAAAUGCGUAGAUAUAGGAAGGAACACCAGUGGCGAAGGCGAUCACCUGGACUGAUACUGACACUGAGGUGCGAAAGCGUGGGGAGCAAACAGGAUUAGAUACCCAUGUAGUCCCUGAGCGGGCUGGCAAGGCGCAU